AUGUACUUCUUUGGAGCAAGAGCUAAAAUCACCCAAAUCUCAGAUCUUGUACUGAAAGAAGAUGAGAAAGCUACUCUGACAUGCAGUCAAAAUGAUGAUCACACUUAUAUGUCCUGGUAUCUGCAGCAGCCAGGGAAGGGGCUGCAAUUGCUCUAUUCUUCCAUUGGUGCAAAUCAGGAGCAAGUGGGUGACAUCCAUAUUGGAUACAAAGCUAAACGGUUAAACCACACAGACUUCUACUUGGAUAUUUUAUCUGUGAAGAGGAACCAUUCAGCUGUCUAUUUCUGUGCCAGCAGUUUGGACACAACACUUCAAAGUCACUUGCUUUCUUUACAUUAA